rnacentral:sRNA from 1 species
GCUGUCUGCAGUCUCAGGCUUCCUAGCAGCCCUGAUAAGAGAGGUAGAGCAAUGCAGGUGACAUUAAUCCUUGCAGAGGAGGAGACCCACCCGGUGGACUUGAGCUCGCUCUCCAGUAAGCUCCUCCCAGGCUUCACCACGCUGGGCUUCAAAGACGAGAGAAGAAACAAAGUCACCUUUCUCUCCAGUGCCACUACUGCGCUUUCGAUGCAGAAUAAUUCAGUAUUUGGCGACUUGAAGUCGGACGAGAUGGAGCUGCUCUACUCAGCCUACGGAGAUGAGACAGGCGUGCAGUGUGCGCUGAGCCUGCAGGAGUUUGUGAAGGAUGCUGGGAGCUACAGCAAGAAAGUGGUGGACGACCUCCUGGACCAGAUCACAGGCGGAGACCACUCUAGGACGCUCUUCCAGCUGAAGCAGAGAAGAAAUGUUCCCAUGAAGCCUCCAGAUGAAGCUAAGGUUGGGGACACCCUAGGAGACAGCAGCAGCUCUGUUCUGGAGUUCAUGUCGAUGAAGUCCUAUCCCGACGUCUCUGUGGAUAUCUCCAUGCUCAGCUCUCUGGGUGAGUUGUAACAGGCGCUUUCCCACAGCACCCGGUGAAGGUGUGAUAGAGGAAGAAAACACGCGGCCUCCACCUCCUCUCCCUUCCUGACUAGACAGGGAUGCCAGGAAAAUCUUUUGUUACAGUAUUUGGUCUUUGUCCCAGGUUUUUGGACCAUAGCUCCUAAAAUCCUUGGAAUCUCCUGA